GUGGACUUUUGCAAAUCAUACUUGGUAGCUAAUGGGAAAACUUUCUGUAAUCCAAGACUUAGGGUCAUCAUCAAUGAUGCCAGGGCUGAGCUAGAAGCUGGAGAAGAGAGGUUUGAUGUGAUAGUUGGGGACUUAGCAGACCCUAUUGAUGGAGGCCCUUGUUAUAAACUUUACACAAAAUUCUUCUAUGAUUUCACUGUCAAACCAAGACCGAAGGAGGGUGGUAUAUUUGUGACACAGGUAAUAUAAGACCAAUGUCCAUAACAUGAAUCAAACAUUUAUUAGAGGAAGCAAAAUUAAAGUGACAUUUAUAUAUUGUUCAGGCAGGACCUGCUGGAAUAUUCAGGCACACUGAGGUCUUCUCUUCUAUCUACAACACAUUGAGACAGGUUUUUAAGUAUGUUGCGACUUACACAGCUCAUAUCCCAUCCUAUGCUGAUAUCUGGGGAUGGGUCAUGGUAAAGAUUAUUACUUUAUCAUAGAUAUUGUUUUGUAUGUUAUGUCACAGUAGGAAAUGGACCUCAUCAUAUCUUAAUCAUUCUUUUGCUCUUGGAACAUAACAAGCUUCAGAUUUUUCAUUAGGCCUGAAUGCAGAAGAGAUAUACCUGAGAAUGAGACAAAGUAUUAAGGGAGAAAAUCGAUAUCUGGAUGGCAAAACAUUCUCAUCAGCCUCAACAUUGAGCAAAGUUGUUCGCAAUUCAUAAGUGAAAUCAAAUUAUAAGUUUGUAACUUUUGCUUCUCUCAAAUAUCUAUUGUUGACAAGCUUAAGCCAC